GAUGAACGCUGGCGGCGUGCCUAAUACAUGCAAGUAGAACGCUGAAGGAGGAGCUUGCUCUUCUGGAUGAGUUGCGAACGGGUGAGUAACGCGUAGGUAACCUGCCUGGUAGCGGGGGAUAACUAUUGGAAACGAUAGCUAAUACCGCAUGACAACAGUUAUUGCAUGAUAACUGUUUAAAAGGGGCAACUGCUCCACUACCAGAUGGACCUGCGUUGUAUUAGCUAGUUGGUGAGGUAACGGCUCACCAAGGCGACGAUACAUAGCCGACCUGAGAGGGUGAUCGGCCACACUGGGACGGAGACACGGCCCAGACUCCUACGGGAGGCAGCAGUAGGGAAUCUUCGGCAAUGGACGGAAGUCUGACCGAGCAACGCCGCGUGAGUGAAGAAGGUUUUCGGAUCGUAAAGCUCUGUUGUAAGAGAAGAACGAGUGUGAGAGUGGAAAGUUCACACUGUGACGGUAGCUGACCAGAAAGGGACGGCUAACUACGUG
rnacentral:rRNA from 1 species